CCUACGGGUGGCAGCAGUGGGGAAUUUUGGACAAUGGGCGAAAGCCUGAUCCAGCCAUGCCGCGUGAGUGAAGAAGGCCUUCGGGUUGUAAAGCUCUUUCGGUGGGGACGAAAUGGUUUGUGCUAAUACCACGAACUGAUGACGGUACCCGAAGAAGAAGCACCGGCUAACUACGUGCCAGCAGCCGCGGUAAUACGUAGGGUGCAGGCGUUAAUCGGAAUUACUGGGCGUAAAGCGUGCGCAGGCGGUUUGCUAAGACAGAUGUGAAAUCCCCGGGCUUAACCUGGGAACUGCGUUUGUAACUGGCAGGCUGGAGUGUGGCAGAGGGGGGUGGAAUUCCAAGUGUAGCAGUGAAAUGCGUAGAUAUUUGGAGGAACACCGAUGGCGAAGGCAGCCCCCUGGGCUAACACUGACGCUCAUGCACGAAAGCGUGGGGAGCAAACAGGAUUAGAUACCCCAGUAGUC
rnacentral:rRNA from 1 species